AAGCGCUUCCGGGUCACCGCCGGCUGCAGCCUCCCGGCGCGAUGAAGACAUUGAGGCCCAGAGAGGUUAAGUGACUCAGCCAAGGUCAAACAGCUAUCUAGGAGCCAUGUCCACUUUGUUCCCCUCACUCUUCCCUCAUGUGACUGAGACACUGUGGUUUAAUCUGGAUCGACCCUGUGUGGAAGAGACAGAGCUGCAGCAGCAGGAACAGCAGCAUCAGGCCUGGCUCCAAAGCAUGGCAGAGAAAGACAACAACCUGGUUCCUCUUGGCAAGCCAGCCUCAGAGCACUAUGAUGACGAGGAAGAAGAGGAUGAUGAAGACGAUGAGGAUAGUGAAGAGGACUCAGAGGAUGAUGAGGACAUGCAGGACAUGGACGAGAUGAAUGACUACAAUGAGUGGCCUGAUGACGGAGAGGUCAAUGAGGUGGACAUGGAAGGCAACGAGCAGGAUCAGGACCAGUGGAUGAUCUAGGUAGACAAGGCAGGGUGGACUCAGAGAGAUUCCAGGCCAGCCCGAACUACCCUGCAUCCCAACCCCCACCCCUGCCCACAGAACCAGCUGAUGGCCCCAGUGCCUGAAAGUGCCCUUGGGCACCUCCUUAGCUGCUGCCAGAAUCUGGUCUCCUUGGCCCCUCCCAGGCCAUUGGUCUGCACUUGAAAUCCCCAGGGCCUGAGCCCCACUCCACCUUCCUGGCCAGUACCUCACCCCUUGAUUGGCUGGUCUGGUCUCUUUCUAAGUUUCUUUAAUAAAGACAAAGGAGUGAUUUUCCAAAAA